GCCCCGGCUAACUACGUGCCAGCAGCCGCGGUAAUACGUAGGGGGCGAGCGUUGUCCGGAAUUAUUGGGCGUAAAGGGUACGUAGGCGGCUUUUUAAGUUUGACGUGAAAGCCCGGGGCUUAACUCCGGCAAGCGUUGAAAACUGGAGGGCUUGAGUGAUGGAAGGGACAGUGGAAUUCCUGGUGUAGUGGUGAAAUGCGCAGAGAUCAGGAAGAAUACCAGUGGCGAAGGCGACUGUCUGGACAUUAACUGACGCUGAGGUACGAAAGCGUGGGGAGCAAACAGGAUCAGAUACCCUGGUAGUCCAUGCCGUAAACGGUGGGCGCUAGGUGUGGGUUUCCUUCCACGGGAUCCGUGCCGUAGCUAACGCAUUAAGCGCCCCGCCUGGGGAGUACGGCCGCA
rnacentral:rRNA from 1 species